GACAAGUUAAGGCACAAUAUACACCAUAUAAGAUACCCUGGGGUGUCUGCUUUAUCAAAUGAAAGCCCUUUGUGGGGUUAUUUGAACAGUCACACUGCUAUAAUACCCUAAAAUGAGACAUAGGCCGGUCAAAUCCAUCUACGAAAAUUCUAAUUAUAGAAACUGAAAUAGCCUUGUCUCUUAUAUGGCACUGUAGCUUUACAGAAUAGUGCCAAAGGCAUACAAUGGGGGUAUCGUUAUACUCCGCAGAUGUAGCUGAACACAAUAUGGGCUUCUGUGCAGGAAUAGCACACACCAGCUUUACGAAAUACACA